rnacentral:rRNA from 1 species
UACGGGGGGGGCAAGCGUUGUUCGGAAUUACUGGGCGUAAAGGGCUCGUAGGUGGCCAACUAAGUCGGACGUGAAAUCCCUCGGCUUAACCGGGGAACUGCAUCCGAUACUGGAUGGCUUGAGUUCGGGAGAGGGAUGCGGAAUUCCAGGUGUAGCGGUGAAAUGCGUAGAUAUCUGGAGGAACACCGGUGGCGAAGGCGGCAUCCUGGACCGACACUGACGCUGAGGAGCGAAAGCCAGGGGAGCGAAUGGG